GACGAACGCUGGCGGCGUGCCUAAUACAUGCAAGUCGAGCGAGACUCUUCGGAGUCUAGCGGCGGACGGGUGAGUAACACGUGGGCAACCUGCCUGUAAGACUGGGAUAACACCGGGAAACCGGUGCUAAUACCGGAUAAUCCUUUUCCUCUCAUGAGGAAAAGCUGAAAGUCGGUUUCGGCUGACACUUACAGAUGGGCACGCGGGGCAUUAGCUAGUUGGUGAGGUAACGGCUCACCAAGGCGACGAUGCGUAGCCGACCUGAGAGGGUGAUCGGCCACACUGGGACUGAGACACGGCCCAGACUCCUACGGGAGGCAGCAGUAGGGAAUCUUCCACAAUGGACGAAAGUCUGGUGGAGCAACGCCGCGUGAGCGAUGAAGGCCUUCGGGUCGUAAAGCUCUGUUGUUAGGGAAGAACAAGUACCGGAGUAACUGCCGGUACCUUGACGGUACCUAACCAGAAAGCCACGGCUAACUACGUGCCAGCCGCCGCAGUAAAAC
rnacentral:rRNA from 1 species